rnacentral:tRNA from 1 species
UCAGAAAAUAUUUUAAUUUUAGAAUACCAGCUUUGGGAGCCGGCGGUGGGAGUUCAAUCCUCCUUUUUCUGAGC